ACUUUUGGGGCAGGGCCAUUAUGUAUUUACGAUCGCUGGACUGUGAAAUGAAACAGUGUUAAAUUCCAGAAUUAAAUAUUUGGGUGGCGCUACGUAGCGUUUCGUCCAUAAUGGACUCACACAGAGAAAUGGGUCUAACUUGGUAUGUGCCUAUUUGUUCCGAUUAGUUUUUGCAAUAGGCUAACUUUCUAAAGUACCUGCCCCACCCCCGAAAUUCAGGUCUUGGCCGAUUGUUUCAAGAACAAUAAGCGGAUAAUUACAUUGCCUUGAUAAGAAAGAGUUCAAUGCUCCAGCAACGGCAAACGCGGCGGGCCUGAUUCUGGACCGCCAUCUGUGUAAAUCAGCAGUAACCCCGAUGACUCAAUGGAGUAAUGGGGUGUGAAACCCACUAACAUGAUCAUAACCAGCCCCUGUGAGAAAGGCAUUUAUUUUCAUAAACUGUUUUAGAUUGUACCUUUCUUUAAAGAAAGAAAGAAAGAAAGAAAGAAAGAAAGAAAGAAGAAAGAAAGAAAGAAAGAAAGAAGAAAGAAAGAAGAAAGUCUUGCCUUGGAAGAACGAAGGAAGCCAAGUUCUGCACACCCUACAGCAUAAACCCGACAGUGGAUUCUCCCCCCCCCCACGCCCACCCUUUUCCAACGGUCUGCUGAGCUGCUCUAAAGCCAUGGAAAGUACAGGGGUUUGAAAAUGGUGCCACAUGAUGUAGAGCCCCAUGGUAAUCAGAAAAGAGAUGCUUACAAAGUUGCUUCUGACAAAGACUUCAUUUCCAGCCUAAAAUAUGCCUAGGGAUUUAGCAUGAAUUUAAACACUCAAACCUUGCAACGGGAGUUGACUCACAACUUGGUCUGAAACCGCAGGAUGGUCAGAACGUCUGGCGUCGAAUCCUGCUCUCAGCUGGGUGGAUUUUCAGCCUUUAACAUGCCACUCCAAUCACCCUCAAGGCAGGGAAAAGGAAGAGGAAAAUAAUAACCAGAGGAACACCUCAACCAGCAACAGUUUCAACACCUCCAGCAGGAAAGUAAUCAGAUAUAUUUUUUUUCCUCCUGGCUCAGAGGCUAUGACUUCUGCAAAAGGUGUCUUUGAUCCUUCCCUUUAAGGCCCAUGCCAUAAAAAAAGAAGUCAUAGCUAAAGUCCACUUUAAAGUGAAGAGAUUUGAGCCCCUCUUUGCUCGCCCCCGGCCCCCUUCUUCGUCUGAGACCUUCCCUAAGAGUUUUUAUGAUUCCUCCCUGUGCAGUGUCAAAGCUUCGCCGACCUAAAGUGGAAUGGGCCCUUGUUACUACAGAGCUGCCUACAGAGCAGACAGGCGGCUAAACUUGGCCAUAUCUAGCUUCUCAAUCUGUUCUGCUAUCUAGUUCAGGAAGGCGUGUGGAUUUCCUUUAUUCCUCCAUUAAAAAUAAAUUAAAUUAAAAUAAAAUAAAAGGUGGAUCCGAAAAUCAAUAGGCACAAAGAAUCUCCAGACUGGCUGGUUGUCUACUUCGGUGGCAGAUAGCCAAUCCACUACAUCACCCUGAAACUAUUUAGCAAGCAUCCCUCUGAAAUGGGGUCUUUUAAAAGACUCUCCCCCCACCCUCUCUCCCCAAACGCCACUGGCUCUCAUAUAUUAUUUGGGGCUAACGUGAGGUUGGUUCUCUUUCGUGUAGGGGGUGGGAUUGUAUAGACAGCACCUUCCAUUGCUAGGAAUUUGGAGACAGAAUCCCCUGUUGACCAAGGAUAGUUGUUCUUGGGAUUAGAAAUGUCUGACCUUGAAGGUCACAGGUCAUGGUCUUGAAUAAGGAACAGACUCUUACAGAAGGACUAAGUUGGGCCUGGUGAGGCUUCCAACAAAAGAACGCCUUUUGUUGGUACUAGAACCGACUCCUCCCUCAAGAAUUAUGGACCUCCUCAAGGUAAUCAAAUACCGCAGAAUAAAGCAAAUAAACAUUUUGACACAGUUUCUGGGAGUGUGAUGGGGAGAGGGAAAGAGGGCUGGAGCCACAAGAUCUUAUGUUUAUUAUUUGUGUUCUAAGAGGCCUAGUAGCUACAGCUGAGAAGAAGGUCUCAUUGGGUUAGGUACAAACACAGAGAAAAGAGAAUUCUUGCCCACAGAGGUUAGGCUCAGAUCCUCAAGAUAUUUAGGUGCCUAUCUGACAUGGAUUUCCUCCUAAAUACACUGCUAGGGGAAAGGAAGCAUCAUUAUCCCCAUUUUAUAGAGGGAAGAAAGAUGAAGUGAUGCACCUAAGGUCCCAUGGAAGUUGUGGCAGAGUCAGGAGCAGAGUCCAUGCCUCUUAAAUCCCAGUUAUGAUGGCCUCACUACACAAACACCCUUCUUCUCUUCCCACUAUGGGAUUAUUGUGCUGCCCUGGGCAAAUCACAUCACCAUCUGUGCCUCAGUUUCCUCACCUGUAAAUGGGGAUAAUAUACAUGCCCUCUUUACAGCAUUGUUGUGAAACUUCAUUCAUGUUUUCAACAGUGCUAGGUCUGUACAUGGAAGUAUUCAAGUAUCAAAAACAUUCCCAAGUGGAGAGAGGUGGAUGUCACAGAUAUUCAGUGAUAACAGGCCCUAUAUUAAAUAACAAACACAAAACUACUUCAUCAGCAGUGAUGCACCUUUCCAUGAGUUCUAAUAGUUUAGGAGAUUGGUAAGGGUUACAGACACAUGAAACUAUAGGACCAAAAAUUGCUACCAGUUCAUGAUUGGUAGGUUGCUUAUGUGAAAAGGAGCUGGCAAUGCCAGUCCAGUUGAAGAGGAAUUCUUGUGGACAAAUCACAAUUAGAAUUUACUGUCCUGUGUUGUCUCAGCAAAGAGGCCAAGGGAUUGAGUGGGCCAAGGAAACUGAAUUCUCUAUAGGCAUCCCUAGAGAUGGUCCCUCCAAAUCAGGAAUGGGGUAUAUUAUUUAAUGGUGAGUCAUCUGAAUUUACCAGA